UUGAAGUACAAGUUCCCGUACGAUCGCCGAAGUUAAGCAACGUAGAUCCUGGUCAGUACCUAGAUGGGUGACUGCUUGGGAAUACCAAGUGCUGUAAG